rnacentral:rRNA from 1 species
GACGAACGCUGGCGGCGUGCUUAACACAUGCAAGUCGAACGGACAGACCCUGAUUUUGUGGGGUGCUCGAGUGGCGAGCGGGGGAGUAACACGUGAGGAACCUGCCCUUGACUGUGGGAGAACUUCAGGAAACUGGGGCUAAUACCGGAGAGGAGCUACUGCUGCAUGGUGGUGGUUGGAGAGUUUCGGCGGUGGGGGAUGGACUCGCGGCUUACGCGCUUGAUGGUGGGGUAGUGUAUUAACAAGGCUUUGACGGGUAGCCGGCCUGAGAGGGUGACCGGCCACAGUGGGCCUGAGGUACGACCCAGAGGCCUACGGGAGGCAGCAGUGGGGAAUAUUCGACAAAGGGCGGAAGCCUGAAGGAGCAACGUCGGGUGCGGGAAGACGGUCUUCGGGGUGUAACCCGCUUUCGCGUGAGACGACGCGUGAGUGCGGGUAAUGGGCAAAGAAGCACCGGCUAACUACGU